rnacentral:rRNA from 1 species
GCUUACGGCCACACCGCCUGGUUCACGCCCGAUCUCGUUUGAUCUCGGAAGCUAAGAUAGGUUGGGCCUGGUUAGUACUUGGAUGGGAGACUGCCUGGCAAUACCAGGUGCUGUGCUUU